GUCAAUCACUGCUCUCUCUCCUAAACUAAGAUGGAAUGGAUUUCUUUAAUAUUCAGGACUGUGAGCUAAGAUCAUCAGUGAAGACUCAGGAGUUCAAGCUUCCUGGAGUGGAUUCUUCAGAUUUCCAGACAACGAUUUUCUCCAAAAAAGUUGCACCAAGCAAAAAAUUACCUCAAUACACACAAUGGCAAGGAAAUCUUUUGAAGAAAAAAUUGCAAAUGUUUUGACAUACAUAAGGAGUAGCACAUAUCC